rnacentral:rRNA from 1 species
UACGUAGGUGGCAAGCGUUAUCCGGAUUUAUUGGGCGUAAAGGGAACGCAGGUGGUUUAUUAAGUCUGGUGUAAAAGGCAGUGGCUCAACCAUUGUAUGCAUUGGAAACUGGUAGACUUGAGUGCAGGAGAGGAGAGUGGAAUUCCAUGUGUAGCGGUGAAAUGCGUAGAUAUAUGAAGGAACACCGGUGGCGAAAGCGGCUCUCUGGCCUGUAACUGACACUGAGGCUCGAAAGCGUGGGGAGCAAACAGG